AUUGAACGCUGGCGGCAGGCCUAACACAUGCAAGUCGAGCGUAGCGGCGGACGGGUGCGUAAUGCCUAGGAAUCUGCCUGGUAGUGGGGGAUAACGUCCGGAACCGGGCGCUAAUACUGCAUACUCUCAGAUUAGCAUAGGUCGGUUUAGCUAGUUGGUGUGGUAAAUGCCUACGCAGGCGACGACCCUGAACUGGUCUGAGAGGCUGAUCAGUCACACUGUAACGGAGACACGGUCCAGAAUCCUACGGGAGGCAGCAGUGGGGAAGAUUGGACAAUGGGCGAAAGCCUGAUCCAGCCAUGCCGCGGGUGUGAAGAAGGCCUGCGGGUUGUAAAGCACUUUAAGUUGGGAGGCGUUACCAACAGAAUAAGCACCGGCUAACUUCGUGCCAGCAGCCGCGGUAAUAC
rnacentral:rRNA from 1 species